AAUCCGUGUUGCGGACAAUGUGCACAAAGCUUUUUAAAUCGCUCCCAAUAGUCAUAAAAACUUUCUUCGAUCUUUUGUUGAAUGGAAAGAAUGCUCCUUCGUGACU